UAAGGAAUAUUGCUCAAUGGGAGAAAUCCUGAAGCAGCAACGCCGCGUGGAGGAUGAAGGGUCUAUGACUUGUAAACUCCUGUAAAGAAGGAAAAAAUUCCCAUUAGAUGGGAGAUGAUGGUACUUCUGGAGUAAGCCCCGGCUAACUACGUGCCAGCAGCCGCGGUAAUACGUAGGGGGCAAGCGUUGUCCGGAUUUACUGGGUGUAAAGGGUGCUCAGGCGGAUUUGUAAGUCAGAGGUGAAAUCUUACAGCUUAACUGUGAAACUGCCUUUGAUACUGCAAGCCUAGAGUAUGGAAGAGAGUGAUGGAAUAUCUGGUGUAGCAGUGAAAUGCGUAGAUAUCAGAUAGAACACCAAUGGCGAAGGCAGUCACUUGGUCCAUUACUGACGCUAAAGCACCAAAGCGUGGGUAGCAAACA
rnacentral:rRNA from 1 species